UCGCUGCGACUGCGGAAGACAUUAAUGAACAAAUUCAGGAACCGAGGGCCUCUGUGAAGCCUGUGGUCGCGAAUUUCAUUACCAUCCCUUCUGUGCACAUUCCAUGUUGCUUCCGUGUGUCUGCAGUCCCUUACACUGGGAUGCCUGAAAAGCCUCACUCAUCCUGAGGGCGCACGGGAAUGAACACCAUGCUCUGGUUUCUGUAUUUAUAGUCGGAGUGGUUACCACGUCAUAACAAAUUAAAACUUUCAACAACGGAUCUCUUGGUUCUCGCAUCGAUGAAGAACGCAGCGAAAUGCGAUAAGUAGUGUGAAUUGCAGAAUUCAGUGAAUCAUCGAAUCUUUGAACGCACAUUGCGCCUCCUGGUAUUCCGGGAGGCAUGCCUGUUCGAGCGUCAUUAAAAGCAUCCUCAAGCAUUGUUGCUUGGUCAUGGAGGAAGAUAGUUACUGUCCCCUCUGGAAUCUCUCAGUAGACAACUCCCAAGGAGCGUAGGCGUAAUAUAAUUGAUAUUCGUUUAAUGCCUUGUGGGUUGCCAGGCUGCGUAGAGCUCCCCCCAGCAAGUACUUGGUACUUCAAAGCUUGACCUCGGAUCAGGUAGGGAUACCCGCUGAACUUAAGCAUUU
rnacentral:rRNA from 1 species